rnacentral:ncRNA from 2 species
CUCCCUGCAUUCAUAACGAGUGUAGAGUGGCAGAUAUCUGCCCAAAACUCCUUUAAUUGCUGGAAGUUCCUAAAGCUAACUAAACCACAACAUAAUCAUGAAAUAAGGAUAAGUGUGAUAGAGUGUGCAUUUAAUAAGCACUUGAGGUUACGAAAGUAGAAAAAAUUAGUUAGAUAGCAUAAGGUUAAAUCCUAAGUGCCUUGAAAAUGGAUAAUCAGCAGGUAAGCUUCGAAAAGAAGAAACUUCAACGACUAGAGAGAAAUCUCGUACCUACAAGUGUGGGGAAAUGGGGAGUACCUAAUUUAUGGUUAGGUAAUGAUAUAGUCUGUGCUUAAUAGAAAUAUUAAG